rnacentral:rRNA from 1 species
UACGAAGGGGGCUAGCGUUGUUCGGAAUCACUGGGCGUAAAGCGCACGCAGGCGGAUUGAUAAGUCAGGGGGUGAAAUCCCCGGAGCUCAACUUCGGAAUUGCCUUUGAUACUGUUAAUCUCGAGUCCGGGAGAGGUGAGUGGAAUUCCUAGUGUAGAGGUGAAAUUUCGUAGAUAUUAGGAAGAACACCAGUGGCGAAGGCGGCUCACUGGCCCGGUACUGACGCUCAUGUGCGAAAGCGUGGGGAGCAACAGGG